UGGGGAAUAUUGCACAAUGGGCGAAAGCCUGAUGCAGCAACGCCGCGUGAGUGAUGAAGGCCUUCGGGUUGUAAAGCCCUGUCUUUUGGGACGAUAAUGACGGUACCAAAGGAGGAAGCCACGGCUAACUACGUGCCAGCAGCCGCGGUAAUACGUAGGUGGCAAGCGUUGUCCGGAUUUACUGGGCGUAAAGGAUGCGUAGGCGGAUUUUUAAGUGAGAUGUGAAAUACCCGGGCUUAACUUGGGUGCUGCAUUUCAAACUGGGAAUCUAGAGUGCGGGAGAGGAGAAUGGAAUUCCUAGUGUAGCGGUGAAAUGCGUAGAGAUUAGGAAGAACACCAGUGGCGAAGGCGAUUCUCUGGACCGUAACUGACGCUGAGGCAUGAAAGCGUGGGUAGCAAAACAGGAUUAGAUACCCUGGUAGUCCACGCCGUAAAACGAUGAGUACUAGGUGUAGGAGGUAUCGACCCCUUCUGUGCCGCAGUUAACACAAUCAAGUACUCCGCCUGGGAAGUACGAUCGCAAGAUUAAAAACUCAAAGGAAUUGACGGGGUC
rnacentral:rRNA from 1 species